CAUGCCUACGGGGGGCAGCAGUAGGGAAUUUUCGUCAAUGGGCGCAAGCCUGAACGAGCAAUGCCGCGUGAACGAGGAAGGUCUUCGGAUCGUAAAGUUCUGUUGAAGGGGAAAAAGAGCGGAGAGAGGAAAUGCUUUCUGAUUGAUAUUACCCUUCGAGGAAGUCACGGCUAACUACGUGCCAGCAGCCGCGGUAAUACGUAGGUGGCGAGCGUUAUCCGGAAUGAUUGGGCGUAAAGGGAGCGUAGACGGUAGAGCAAGUCUGAAGUGAAAGCCCGCGGCUCAACUGCGGGACUGCUUUGGAA
rnacentral:rRNA from 1 species